rnacentral:rRNA from 1 species
GCAAGUCGAACGGCAGCGGGGGGAAAGCUUGCUUUCCUGCCGGCGAGUGGCGAACGGGUGAGUAAUACAUCGGAACGUGCCCUGUAGUGGGGGAUAACUAGUCGAAAGAUUAGCUAAUACCGCAUACGACCUGAGGGUGAAAGUGGGGGACCGCAAGGCCUCAUGCUAUAGGAGCGGCCGAUGUCUGAUUAGCUAGUUGGUGAGGUAAAGGCUCACCAAGGCGACGAUCAGUAGCUGGUCUGAGAGGACGAUCAGCCACACUGGGACUGAGACACGGCCCAGACUCCUACGGGAGGCAGCAGUGGGGAAUUUUGGACAAUGGGCGAAAGCCUGAUCCAGCAAUGCCGCGUGUGUGAAGAAGGCCUUCGGGUUGUAAAGCACUUUUGUCCGGAAAGAAAUGGCUCUGGUUAAUACCUGGAGUCGAUGACGGUACCGGAAGAAUAAGGACCGGCUAACUACGUGCCAGCAGCCGCGGUAAUACGUAGGGUCCAAGCGUUAAUCGGAAUUACUGGGCGUAAAGCGUGCGCAGGCGGUUGUGCAAGACCGAUGUGAAAUCCCCGGGCUUAACCUGGGAAUUGCAUUGGUGACUGCACGGCUAGAGUGUGUCAGAGGGAGGUAGAAUUCCACGUGUAGCAGUGAAAUGCGUAGAGAUGUGGAGGAAUACCGAUGGCGAAGGCAGCCUCCUGGGAUAACACUGACGCUCAUGCACGAAAGCGUGGGGAGCAAACAGGAUUAGAUACCCUGGUAGUCCACGCCCUAAACGAUGUCAACUAGUUGUUGGGGGAUUCAUUUCCUUAGUAACGUAGCUAACGCGUGAAGUUGACCGCCUGGGGGAGUACGGUCGCAAGAUUAAAACUCAAAGGAAUUUG